CUGGCUCAGGAUGAACGCUGGCGGCGUGCUUAACACAUGCAAGUCGAACGAAGCAACUUAUUACGAUCCCUUCGGGGUGACGAUUUGUUGACUGAGUGGCGGACGGGUGAGUAACGCGUGGGUAACCUACCUUGUACAGGGGGACAACAGUUGGAAACGACUGCUAAUACCGCAUAAGCGCACAGCUUCGCAUGAAGCAGUGUGAAAAGUUUUUCGGUACAAGAUGGACCCGCG
rnacentral:rRNA from 1 species